AAAGGAGACUCAGUAGACUCAGCAAAAUAACAGACAAACAGGCUGCUAUCACAGAAAAAACAAGACAUUGUCUAGGCAUUUCUGAUGUACAGAGUUUGAUCUCUCCGUAAAGCUCCGGACACAAGCUAUUCACUGAGAUAUGUCACACAGCUGACAAAUGCAUUUUUCUAUGUGUUUAAUGAUACUGUGAAGAACGCACUCCAUUUCGAAAUCUGAUCUGAGAGUCAUAAAUCAUGCAGAUUAAGUCGUGAGGCCAAACAAAGGGAAAGCUUUCCCGCCAACUUUGCACCCAUGUUAUUGGCCACCCCACCUCAAGGAGGUGUGUCGGCUUAUCUGUCAUAAAAGCAAAGACGCACAAUUUCUGUGUGUUCUCUCCCGAUUGUCUCACGAGCAUCUCGUGCACAUUUUUCCCGGACAUCUCUGGUGACCGCGCGCUGCCAUCGCGCUCAGCUUCGGGACCGCCAUCUUCCAGCAAAACUCACUCUCAAGUCCUCAGUUCGAACCUUCCCGCGGAACGGAGGAAGCCAACGAACUGCACCAGCGCUAACCUGAAA